rnacentral:rRNA from 1 species
AGGAUAACCUAGGUAUCUUGUACUGAAUCCAUAGGUGCAAGAGGCGAACCAGGGGAACUGAAACAUCUAAGUACCCUGAGGAAAAGAAAUCAACCGAGAUUCCCUUAGUAGUGGCGAGCGAACGGGGAUUAGCCCUUAAGCUUCAUUGAUUUUAGCGGAACGCUCUGGAAAGUGCGGCCAUAGUGGGUGAUAGCCCCGUACGCGAAAGGAUCUUUGAAGUGAAAUCGAGUAGGACGGAGCACGAGAAACUUUGUCUGAACAUGGGGGGACCAUCCUCCAAGGCUAAAUACUACUGACUGACCGAUAGUGAACCAGUACCGUGAGGGAAAGGCGAAAAGAACCCCGGAGAGGGGAGUGAAAUAGAACCUGAAACCGUAUGCGUACAAGCAGUGGGAGCCUACUUGUUAGGUGACUGCGUACCUUUUGUAUAAUGGGUCAGCGACUUAUAUUCAGUGGCAAGCUUAACCGUAUAGGGUAGGCGUAGCGAAAGCGAGUCUUAAUAGGGCGUUUAGUCGCUGGGUAUAGACCCGAAACCGGGCGAUCUAUCCAUGAGCAGGUUGAAGGUUAGGUAACACUGACUGGAGGACCGAACCCACUCCCGUUGAAAAGGUAGGGGAUGACUUGUGGAUCGGAGUGAAAGGCUAAUCAAGCUCGGAGAUAGCUGGUUCUCCUCGAAAGCUAUUUAGGUAGCGCCUCAUGUAUCACUCUGGGGGGUAGAGCACUGUUUCGGCUAGGGGGUCAUCCCGACUUACCAAACCGAUGCAAACUCCGAAUACCCAGAAGUGCCGAGCAUGGGAGACACACGGCGGGUGCUAACGUCCGUCGUGAAAAGGGAAACAACCCAGACCGCCAGCUAAGGUCCCAAAGUUGUGGUUAAGUGGUAAACGAUGUGGGAAGGCUUAGACAGCUAGGAGGUUGGCUUAGAAGCAGCCAUCCUUUAAAGAAAGCGUAAUAGCUCACUAGUCGAGUCGGCCUGCGCGGAAGAUGUAACGGGGCUCAAACCACACACCGAAGCUGCGGGUGUCACGUAAGUGACGCGGUAGAGGAGCGUUCUGUAAGCCUGUGAAGGUGAGUUGAGAAGCUUGCUGGAGGUAUCAGAAGUGCGAAUGCUGACAUGAGUAACGACAAUGGGUGUGAAAAACACCCACGCCGAAAGACCAAGGGUUCCUGCGCAACGUUAAUCGACGCAGGGUUAGUCGGUUCCUAAGGCGAGGCUGAAAAGCGUAGUCGAUGGGAAACAGGUUAAUAUUCCUGUACUUCUGGUUACUGCGAUGGAGGGACGGAGAAGGCUAGGCCAGCUUGGCGUUGGUUGUCCAAGUUUAAGGUGGUAGGCUGAAAUCUUAGGUAAAUCCGGGGUUUCAAGGCCGAGAGCUGAUGACGAGUCGUCUUUUAGAUGACGAAGUGGUUGAUGCCAUGCUUCCAAGAAAAGCUUCUAAGCUUCAGGUAACCAGGAACCGUACCCCAAACCGACACAGGUGGUCGGGUAGAGAAUACCAAGGCGCUUGAGAGAACUCGGGUGAAGGAACUAGGCAAAAUGGCACCGUAACUUCGGGAGAAGGUGCGCCGGCUAGGGUGAAGGAUUUACUCCGUAAGCUCUGGCUGGUCGAAGAUACCAGGCCGCUGCGACUGUUUAUUAAAAACACAGCACUCUGCAAACACGAAAGUGGACGUAUAGGGUGUGACGCCUGCCCGGUGCCGGAAGGUUAAUUGAUGGGGUUAGCGCAAGCGAAGCUCUUGAUCGAAGCCCCGGUAAACGGCGGCCGUAACUAUAACGGUCCUAAGGUAGCGAAAUUCCUUGUCGGGUAAGUUCCGACCUGCACGAAUGGCGUAACGAUGGCGGCGCUGUCUCCACCCGAGACUCAGUGAAAUUGAAAUCGCUGUGAAGAUGCAGUGUAUCCGCGGCUAGACGGAAAGACCCCGUGAACCUUUACUGUAGCUUUGCACUGGACUUUGAGCCUGCUUGUGUAGGAUAGGUGGGAGGCUUUGAAGCGUGGACGCCAGUUCGCGUGGAGCCAUCCUUGAAAUACCACCCUGGCAUGCUUGAGGUUCUAACUCUGGUCCGUAAUCCGGAUCGAGGACAGUGUAUGGUGGGCAGUUUGACUGGGGCGGUCUCCUCCUAAAGAGUAACGGAGGAGUACGAAGGUGCGCUCAGACCGGUCGGAAAUCGGUCGCAGAGUAUAAAGGCAAAAGCGCGCUUGACUGCGAGACAGACACGUCGAGCAGGUACGAAAGUAGGUCUUAGUGAUCCGGUGGUUCUGUAUGGAAGGGCCAUCGCUCAACGGAUAAAAGGUACUCCGGGGAUAACAGGCUGAUACCGCCCAAGAGUUCAUAUCGACGGCGGUGUUUGGCACCUCGAUGUCGGCUCAUCACAUCCUGGGGCUGAAGCCGGUCCCAAGGGUAUGGCUGUUCGCCAUUUAAAGUGGUACGCGAGCUGGGUUUAGAACGUCGUGAGACAGUUCGGUCCCUAUCUGCCGUGGACGUUUGAGAUUUGAGAGGGGCUGCUCCUAGUACGAGAGGACCGGAGUGGACGAACCUCUGGUGUUCCGGUUGUCACGCCAGUGGCAUUGCCGGGUAGCUAUGUUCGGAAAAGAUAACCGCUGAAAGCAUCUAAGCGGGAAACUUGCCUCAAGAUGAGAUCUCACUGGGAACUUGAUUCCCCUGAAGGGCCGUCGAAGACUACGACGUUGAUAGGCUGGGUGUGUAAGCGUUGUGAGGCGUUGAGCUAACCAGUACUAAUUGCCCGUGAGGCUUGACCAU